rnacentral:misc_RNA from 1 species
GGAAUAUGUUGCCUAUCCAAAAGAUAACUGAUUCCAACAAGUUGUUCAUCACAUGUUCUCAAAAGUCUUGGUAGGUCCUCAUGUCAUGGUUGGGCCCUAUCAUAUUGAAUACCCUGGACAUAAUUGAAUUCCUGAAAAUGACUCCCUGGUGUCAGAAUCUCAGAAAAUGCAGUUAAGUCAUUAUUGAAUAGGGAGUAGAAAUGGAUACAUGUUAUUGUAUUUAUUUCUUCUCACAUUUGAAAUGAAAUACUUUUGUUUUUCUUGAUUGCAUUACUAGGUAAGGCCUCUAGAAUAGGUUCUAAUAACAAUUACCAACAGGUUUUGAGCAUGAGUAGACUGG